GCUAGACCUAAUUGAGCUAUCCAAAUCCAAAUCCAAUUUUAUGAAAAUGACUUAGAUCUGAAAUUUUCAAUUUUAGAUCUAAUUUAAUUUCAUAAGAUUAAUUCAUUAAUUAAGUCUUGGGUUUAUAAACAAAAUAUGUAAAUAAAUCCUAGGGUUUCAGGAUCUAGGAUUUUGCAAAAAAAUAAAUUUUAAUUUCUGAUUAAGGGUGAAUGCGUAGCACCCCUACACGCCAUAAGAACACCCCAUUGAA
rnacentral:lncRNA from 1 species